ensembl:lncRNA
GGGAAUACCAAAACACACACACACACUUCGGUAUCAUCGAUAGAGGUUUAACAACACAGUGUAAAGUUUGCAUAAUACUGUGGAUUGACAGCAGUUGGAGAGUGUAAUUAUGAAUCGUGUUUUUUUCCAAACGCAAGCAGCGCAUGCGCAGUAGCGGCACAGUCAGACUUGGCCCUUCGACUGUCACAGCUUUUAAAACACCGGCAGCUUCAGUAUUUCCAGCUUACACCUUCAUCAUCAUCCUCACAUUCUUCAUCUUCAGAGGCUCAGCAUGAGUGGAGAUCAUGCACACAAACAGCACCAGAUGCAGUCUGGGUCUGAGGACUACAGUAAGUGUUUUUUACAGAAGAGAAGAGCUGCAGCGCACAUUACAGUUAAAUACAGUGAGAUGAAGCAGAGAUGUCUAUUGUUCAGAAACAGCGCUGUGCAAUCACACUUAACCCCUGAGAUACCUCACACCGAGAUCACAUCCGUGUAGAGAAGCAGCUCGAUUAGAGGAACACGACAGUCAUGGUGUCGGGUUCGAAGACUAACGGGAUGAAUUUGGGAGCUGAAAGCGUGAGGACCUCGUCUCUGUGCCAUCUUCUUUUCUCUGAACAUAAGCAGCAUUUCUGUGAGAGACAGCAGCUAUAAUAACAUUAUAGUUACCUCAGCUGGUAAUGUAAAAUCAUAAUAUGAGAGAAUCUUUGCUAUAUUUCUGUGAGCAACAACUGUGUUCACUCACUCACUAUGGUGUUUGGCUAAAACUAUGGUUAGUAACAUUAACAAAAAAGUACUGUCAUGUAGUAUACCUAGCAUAUUUCCUGGGAUUUACCAUGGUAAUACCACGGUUUGGGUUAUAUGAAUAUGGUAAUCAUUCAGUAUAAAGGUGGACACAAAAUGACAGGUUAUAAAAUGCAGUCUUGUAGUUCAGUUCUACUGAACUCUUCUAAAAAGCUCUACUGUACGCUGAUAUUACGCUCUACACUCCUUCAAACUGACUGAGAACUUGUGUAUUGUGGUGUACAGUGAUGCUUUUUAAGCCUAUAUACCCUGCCCCUUUAAAUCGUGGAAUAAAAAGCACUUUUUUGUUGUUUCUUUUUUGUUUAGUUGACCUAUUUGUCACUUUGAGUUCUGGUUUAAUUUCAAGCCUGUUAGAUUAGCCAAAGUCGAGUUAGGACUGAUGUUAAACAAUGAUUAGACAGGAAGUUACAUUAUUUGAGCUGUUUCUAGUAACUAUUUGGAAAGGAUGCUUAAUUUUAACCAAAAUUUUGAGUUUUGUUAUUUUUAGAAUGUUUUACUUCAUGAAAGGUAUAAACUUGAUAAAAGUUUUGGCACUUGCUAUGUGAACACACACACACACACACACACACGAAAAAUUAAAUUAAAUUAAAGAAAUAAAUAAUGGACAUGAUUUGAAAAGGUUAAAUGGUUCUGAAAAAAAAUCAUGUUCAUUAAAUGGAUUAAAACUACUGUAUAAAUAUA